ACUCCUACGGGAGGCAGCAGUGGGGAAUAUUGCACAAUGGGGGAAACCCUGAUGCAGCCAUGCCGCGUGUGUGAAGAAGGCCUUCGGGUUGUAAAGCACUUUCAGUAGGGAGGAAGGUAGUGUAGUUAACACCUGCACUAUUUGACGUUACCUACAGAAGAAGCACCGGCUAACUCCGUGCCAGCAGCCGCGGUAAUACGGAGGGUGCGAGCGUUAAUCGGAAUUACUGGGCGUAAAGCGCAUGCAGGCGGCCUGUUAAGUCAGAUGUGAAAGCCCGGGGCUUAACCUCGGAAUUGCAUUUGAAACUGGCAGGCUAGAGUCUUGUAGAGGGGGGUAGAAUUUCAGGUGUAGCGGUGAAAUGCGUAGAGAUCUGAAGGAAUACCAGUGGCGAAGGCGGCCCCCCUGGACAAAGACUGACGCUCAGAUGCGAAAGCGUGGGGAGCAAACAGGAUUAGAUACCCUGGUAGCACAGAG
rnacentral:rRNA from 1 species